UUUCUUCGUUCAAAACUUGAAAACUAUUAGUUUAAAAAGGUUGAUUUACACAUUCCGUUAACAUAUGACUUAUAUAGUUUCGGUACCCACAAAGUCUACAUCAAUUUUAUUUUCAGUGUGUAAUCUUCAAUCGACUUGAUUUUCAAUCGAUAACGAUGAGUCGACGACAGGUGAACGAUUUCAGAUGAACGAGACCAGCACAUUCGCGUGAUCAUUUUUAAUUAUUCAGAAAGAAAAUGAUGCGACCAAGGAGCAUUUUAUAGAAAUUUGCCAAUGUGAAAUGUUUCUCCCCAAGAGCUAUCAAGGAGUGUGGUGAUGCUCCAGUGUGGUGUCGUUUGCAAUGAUUAUGGUUUGGGGUUACAUCUUUGUGCCCUUGAAGGAAUCUUGCAAAGAGGUAGAUAGUCGUUAUCUGUUAUUGUAAACCAGGAGUUGUCUUCUUGGAGCUAUGCUCGAGUAAAGAGGCUACUUACCCCUCAGAUUUCAAAGGUACCAACAAUCGGAUAUAUGGUAGAUUUGUGGAAGAAAAAUCAUAACCUUUUUGGAAUACUAUAGGUAUGCUUCCAUUAGAUUUAGUUUUUCUAUUUAAUAUACAUAUACCAACAAUAGGAGAAAUAGUAAAUUUGUGGAAGAAUAUAUUUAUAUAUGUAUAUAUUUCUCACUUAUAAUCCACAAUUUUAUUUAAGUAAUAUUUAGAGAGAAGGUCCAUGCAUAUCAAGGGAUGUGAGAUCUUCAAAUUCAAGCUUUGACUAUCAAUUUAAUUGAGGGGAUUAGAAAGGUCCAUCAUGAAGGCUCUAUAUAGGAUUUCAGACUAGCAAAUUUAUAUAGAGAGUCUUGUUUGAAUUGUUGCCCCACUCAUAAUUAUAUAGAGAGUCUUGUUUAAUUUGUAAACUUAAUUUACUCCUAUACAUAAAAUACAACUGUGAUAGGUAUAGUUAGGUGCAUCGACCUGUGCGUUUGCUUUGAGGUUAUCUAAUGAAUCUUCUUUUCUUAUCUGAUGUGUUGCCAGUCUGAAGUGAAAGAUCAUUCACAUAAAACUACAGUCUUUUCUUCAUUUAAAUAACAAUGUAGUUUACAUUUUUUAUUUGAAUUAUUGUGUGACCAAUACCUUAAAGCCAUGUUAUAGUUUUUCUCCUUAGCAAACAAAAAAUGUUAUAUGUUUCCUAAUGGAUAAAUAAAAGAUCUUCUAAAACAUGUUGGUGGAUUCAA